rnacentral:rRNA from 1 species
UUUUGUUGGAGAGUUUGAUCCUGGCUCAGGACGAACGCUGGCGGCGUGCUUAACACAUGCAAGUCGAGCGGUAAGGCCUUUCGGGGUACACGAGCGGCGAACGGGUGAGUAACACGUGGGCGACCUGCCCUCCACUCUGGGAUAAGCCCGGGAAACUGGGUCUAAUACCGGAUAUGACCUUCCUUCGCAUGGGGGUUGGUGGAAAGUUUUUCGGUGGGGGAUGGGCCCGCGGCCUAUCAGCUUGUUGGUGGGGUGAUGGCCCACCAAGGC